rnacentral:snRNA from 1 species
GGAUGUGAGGGCGAUCUGGCUACGACAUCUGUCACCCCACUGAUUGCCAGGGUUGAUUCGGCUGAUCUGGUUGGCUGGGCUGGUGUCCCCUUCCUCCUCGCCGCUCCAUGUGCGUCCCUCCUGAAGCUGCGCGCUCGGUUGAAGAGGAUUACCUUCCCCGAUAGAGGAGGACUGUUCUUCUGUCAAGGGUAUACAAGUUGCUAUGCUCCCCUGCUAGAAUCUCCAAACAAGCUCUCAAAAUAUUACAGGAGUACAAAUGUUUUUGGUUUCAUGGAUUGCUUUUGUAAUGCUUUAGUCAGGAUUAUAAG